GAUGAACGCUAGCGGCAGGCCUAAUACAUGCAAGUCGAACGGUGUCUUCGGACAUAGUGGCGCACGGGUGCGUAACACGUAUGCAACCUACCUUACAUUGGGGGAUAGCCUUUCGAAAGGGAGAUUAAUACCGCAUAAGACAGUAGCUGGGCAUCCAGCAGCUGUUAAAGAUUUAUCGAUGUACGCUGGGCAUGCGUCCAAUUAGCUAGUUGGUGAGGUAACGGCUCACCAAGGCAAUGAUUGGUAGGGGAACGGAGAGGUCAAUCCCCCACACUGGCACUGAAAUACGGGCCAGACUCCUACGGGAGGCAGCAGUAGGGAAUAUUGGUCAAUGGACGGAAGUCUGAACCAGCCAUGCCGCGUGCAGGGAGACGGUCCUCUGGAUUGUAAACUGCUUUUGUUAGGGAAGAAACUUCCGUACGUGUACGGGACUGACGGUACCUAAAGAAUAAGGAUCGGCUAACUCCGUGCCAGCCGCCGCCGUAAAAC
rnacentral:rRNA from 1 species